GGGUCUGUAGCUCAGUUGGUUAGAGCGCACCCCUGAUAAGGGUGAGGUCGGAAGUUCAAGUCUUCCCAGACCCACCA
rnacentral:tRNA from 1 species